UAAGGAAUAUUGGACAAUGGAGGCAACUCUGAUCCAGCCAUGCCGCGUGAAGGAAUAAGGCCCUAUGGGUUGUAAACUUCUUUUAGACGGGACAAAACCCCUUUACGUGUAAAGGGUUGAUGGUACUGUCAGAAUAAGCAUCGGCUAACUUCGUGCCAGCAGCCGCGGUAAUACGAAGGAUGCAAGCGUUAUCCGGAAUUAUUGGGUUUAAAGGGUGCGUAGGCGGACUAAUAAGUCAGUGGUGAAAGCCUGCAGCUUAACUGCAGAAUUGCCAUUGAUACUGUUAGUCUUGAGUACAGUUGAGGUAGGCGGAAUGUGUCAUGGAGCGGUGAAAUGCUUAGAUAUGACACAGAACACCGAUUGCGAAGGCAGCUUGCUAAGCUGUAACUGACGCUGAGGCACGAAAGCGUGGGGAGCAAACA
rnacentral:rRNA from 1 species